rnacentral:lncRNA from 1 species
CAUAUGCAUAUACAUACAAAUAUAUAUUGUAAUUGGAAUCUGAACCCCAGAACUACAAUUCCCAGCACCCCACUCUCCUUCUCAUGUUACAUGCUGAUGUAGGCAGGAUAUAAAUUUUGUGUAGUCCCACCUUUUGCACUCUCUUCUUGUGAUUGCAAGUAACUGUGGACACGGGCUUUUUGAGAGCAAGGAGAACUUACUCAAAUGGGUUUGCUUUUGUUAUAUAAUUAGGUUUUUAUAAUUUUAUUUCUUUUUAUUCCUUCUACUUCAAGUGAUUAUUAAUAAACUAUAUAAAAUUAAUACUUGGAGUGUUGAACAUUAAUUUAAACUUUACAUUUUGGCAACCACUACAGAAAAAGAAUACUUAAUUUUCUUUUAAGAAAGCUUUUGAGUAAAGAAUAGGGAGUAGAUAAAUUUUGAAAAACUGAGUUUCACUCCCUCCUCCCCUCCCCUUCCCCCCCCAACUGAAGCUGCUCCUACUGCUGUUGUUGUGAGCCUGCCACUUCAUCUCUUGAACACACAAUCUAGGAGUCCUUGCAAGCUGCCUUUUGGAUGUCUGGUCCUGGGUGCACUUGUCCUUGUGAUCAGAUUGACCAAUCCUGAGAUUCGGGGGGAGAUUCAUCUCCCUACACCUCCUUGCCAUUUUGGCCUGCCCAGUCUUUGCAACACACCCAAUAUGGUGUUCAUCCACACUAUGCCCAGUGCAGGUAUGGGGAACUCCAGAGAUAU